UUUGAUCCUGGCUCAGAACGAACGCUGGCGGCAGGCUUAACACAUGCAAGUCGAGCGCCCCGCAAGGGGAGCGGCAGACGGGUGAGUAACGCGUGGGAACGUACCCUUUACUACGGAAUAACGCAGGGAAACUUGUGCUAAUACCGUAUGUGCCCUUCGGGGGAAAGAUUUAUCGGUAAGGGAUCGGCCCGCGUUGGAUUAGCUAGUUGGUGGGGUAAAGGCCUACCAAGGCGACGAUCCAUAGCUGGUCUGAGAGGAUGAUCAGCCACAUUGGGACUGAGACACGGCCCAAACUCCUACGGGAGGCAGCAGUGGGGAAUAUUGGACAAUGGGCGCAAGCCUGAUCCAGCCAUGCCGCGUGAGUGAUGAAGGCCCUAGGGUUGUAAAGCUCUUUCACCGGAGAAGAUAAUGACGGUAUCCGGAGAAGAAGCCCC
rnacentral:rRNA from 1 species